rnacentral:rRNA from 1 species
GACGAACGCUGGCGGCGUGCUUAACACAUGCAAGUCGAACGGAAAGGCCCUGCUUUUGUGGGGUGCUCGAGUGGCGAACGGGUGAGUAACACGUGAGUAACCUGCCCUUGACUUUGGGAUAACUUCAGGAAACUGGGGCUAAUACCGGAUAGGAGCUCCUGCUGCAUGGUGGGGGUUGGAAAGUUUCGGCGGUUGGGGAUGGACUCGCGGCUUAUCAGCUUGUUGGUGGGGUAGUGGCUUACCAAGGCUUUGACGGGUAGCCGGCCUGAGAGGGUGACCGGCCACAUUGGGACUGAGAUACGGCCCAGACUCCUACGGGAGGCAGAAGUGGGGAAUAUGGCACAAGGGGCGGAAGCCUGAUGCAGCAACGCCGCGUGCGGGAUGACGGCCUUCGGGUUGUAAACCGCUUUCGCCUGUGACGAAGCGUGAGUGACGGUAAUGGGUAAAGAGGCACCGGCUAACUAGGUG